rnacentral:rRNA from 1 species
GUAGGUGGCAAGCGUUGUCCGGAAUUAUUGGGGCGUAAAGCGCGCGCAGGGGUGGUUCUUUAAGUCUGAUGUGAAAGCCCCCGGGCUCAACCGGGGAGGGUCAUUGGAAACUGGGGAACUUGAGUGCAGGAGGGGAAAGUGGAAUUCCACGUGUAGCGGUGAAAUGCGUAGAUAUGUGGAGGAACACCAGUGGCGAAGGCGACUUUCUGGCCUGUAACUGACACUGAGGCGCGAAAGCGUGGGGAGCAAACGGGAUUAGAUACCCUGGUAGUCCACGCCGUAAACGAUGAGUGCUAAGUGUUGGGGGGUUUCCGCCCCUCAGUGCUGCAGCUAACGCAUUAAGCACUCCGCCUGGGGAGUACGGUCGCAAAGACUG